rnacentral:lncRNA from 1 species
AUGUGGCUCCAGUGUACAGACAGCAGAAGACACCAAGAUCGUGAAGGCACAUCGAGUGCAGCCUGGCUUACGAAGAGCAAGGGACAAAGCCCAGUCAGGUGGCAACAGGAAAGAGACUCUGGUGUAAAUGUGUUCUCUGGUGAGAGGCUGGGAGGCUGUUUAUUUAUAAAUUUGUACAGUUUUUUUUUUUCUUGUAAUGGGAGCAUCCUAGGGUUACUCUGUACCAGCUGUAAUGUGUUCAUGGUUUGGGUUUCUCUCUCUCUCUUUCUCUUCCUCCUCCCUCCCCCCCUUUUUUUUUUUUUUUUUUCCUGAUUUUGUGUGUGUUGAGCCAAUUAAGAAAACUGAAGUUUUUGCAGUGUAUCAUGUCAGGAUAGUGAAGACCCAUGAGAUGACUUAUUAUAUUCUAGACUACUGGAAGAAACCACAAGAAGGACUUUGGUGAAAGUUUUUGUGUUGUCUGGAAAGCAAGAGAGAAGGCAGGAGACUGGAAUAGUGAAGAGAAGGAAAGGGAAAAAGGAGUUUGUCUAAGGUAAAAUGCUGAUUCAGAGGAGUGGAGACAGGAAAGCCUGACUUGAGGGUUUGUAGGAAGUUGUAGAAGGCCAGAGGGAGGUGGGAACUGUGUUUGCUUUGGUUUCUCAUGCCUGCAAAUAGUGAAUUUGAAAAGAAACCGUAAAAUGUGUUGGAAAUUUGAACAUAUUAGGUUAAUUCUGAUUGGUUUUCUUCAUUAAAAAAAUGAAGCUGGUGAUUCUUCACUCCAAAAUGUUUGUGUUAGAAAUGGGGUCAUGCUCUUUAAAGGAGGGAGAAGGAUUGAGAUCCUGUGUCAGCCCAGAUUUAUACUAGCCAUCAGUUCAAGUCAUUGUUACCCAUCGUGUGAAAUAUAUCUCCAGUGAAAAUGAAAAUUGGAAAAGGCUGUAAAUAGAUCAAUCAAGUGAUUUCUUUGUAUAAAUGAAUUAUACAAUUAAAAAAAGCAAACACAUAAUACCCCCCCCAAAAAAAAAGAAUUGUGUUGGAAUUUUGACUAGGAUUGCACUGAAUCUCUAGAUUGCUUUUGAUAGGAUGGCCAUCUUUACCAUGUCACUCCUACUGACC